rnacentral:rRNA from 1 species
GACGAACGCUGGCGGCGUGCUUAACACAUGCAAGUCGAACGAUGACGACCGAGCUUGCUCGGUCUGAUUAGUGGCGAACGGGUGAGUAACACGUGAGCAACCUGCCCUUCACUCUGGGAUAACCUCGGGAAAUCGGGGCUAAUACCGGAUAUGAGCUCCUGUCGCAUGGCGGGUGUUGGAAAGUUUUUCGGUGAAGGAUGGGCUCGCGGCCUAUCAGUUUGUUGGUGAGGUAGUGGCUCACCAAGGCGAUGACGGGUAGCCGGCCUGAGAGGGCGACCGGCCACACUGGGACUGAGACACGGCCCAGACUCCUACGGGAGGCAGCAGUGGGGAAUAUUGCACAAUGGGCGAAAGCCUGAUGCAGCGACGCCGCGUGAGGGAUGACGGCCUUCGGGUUGUAAACCUCUUUCAGCAGGGAAGAAGCGAAAGUGACGGUACCUACAAAAGAAGCGCCGGCUAACUACGUG